UACGGAGGGAGCUAGCGUUAUUCGGAAUUACUGGGCGUAAAGCGCACGUAGGCGGCUUUGUAAGUUAGAGGUGAAAGCCUGGAGCUCAACUCCAGAAUUGCCUUUGAUACUGCAUGGCUUGAAUCCAGGAGAGGUGAGUGGAAUUCCGAGUGUAGAGGUGAAAUUCGUAGAUAUUCGGAAGAACACCAGUGGCGAAGGCGGCUCACUGGACUGGUAUUGACGCUGAGGUGCGAAAGCGUGGG
rnacentral:rRNA from 1 species